rnacentral:misc_RNA from 1 species
AUGUCCAAGAUCUUUCGUCUGUACGGUGAAUUCUGUGCUACGCAUCCCUGGGAAGUUAUUGUAGCCGUUGUAACACUUACAACAUGUUUUUUAACAUUAGACAAGCAAGUAUCUCCAGUGACAAAAAAGCAGCCCCAUUGUGUGGGUUGCUUAGAAGAACAGUUCCAUGCAGCUGACAUGGUAGUCAUGACUAUCAUAAGGUGUCUUGCCAUACUUUACAGUUACCAUCAAUUCAGAAAUCUGCAAAAUUUAGGAUCAAAAUAUAUUUUGGGUAUUGCGGGAUUAUUUGUUGUGUUUUCUAGUUUUGUUUUCACUUCUACCCUACUGAACUUCCUCCACAUCGAUUUAGUAGAUCUUAAAGAUGCCUUGUUCUUCUUUCUACUGCUGAUUGACCUGUCCAAAGCAGCAAUUCUUGCACAAUUUGCACUGACAGCAUCCACAAGGGAUGAAAUAAGCACUCAAAUUGCUAGGGGAGUAUCAAUUUUAGGACCUACAUUAACACUAGACACUAUUGUGGAAACUUUAGUUAUUGGUGUAGGAACACUUUCAGGAGUAGAGCGAUUAGAGAUGCUCUCCUACUUUGCAUGCCUGUCAGCAAUAGUAAAUUAUCUGAUCUUUAUGACAUUCUAUCCAGCUUGUUUAAGCCUAAUGUUGGAAUUGGCUAGAAUAUCAAACUUUUACGGUGAAAAACGACAGAUUAUUCAGAAAAAGCUUCUAGAAGAAAAUGAGAAAGCCAAUCCAGCAGUUCAAAGAGUUAAACUUAUCAUGUCCUUUGGAUUGCUGGUUGUACAUGUGCAAAGCCGUUGGUCAGUUAAUGACGAAUUUAAAGAAUCAAUUAACAACCUUAAAGAUCCAAUGAACUGCUCAGAUGAUACUUCAUUUUAUGGGUAUGUAAUGAGACAAUUCACUCUUAGCGCUGACCAUAUAGUUAUACUAAUUCUUUUGGUUACUCUGAUGAUUAAGUUUAUGUUUUUUGAACCAAAAGACCACUUGAAAGAACAGCUCGAACAGGACGUGUUGUUGGGAAUAGAAAAAGAUAUUCAGAAGAGACAACGUGCCAGAACAACCUCUAUAAAUGCCGAGGCCCAAACAGAAUGCAUGCAACAAAAAUUAUUCACGAAUUAUUUAGAGUAUGAUGACACAAUAAAUGAUAAAGACACAGAUGUACCUAGAAGUUUACAACAGUGCCUAGAAAUCUACAGAACAGACAACGGUGCCAAAGAGUUAUCAGAUAAAGAAAUCAUCAUGUUGGUCGAUACCAAACAUAUUCCUGCAUAUAAUUUGGAAAAGGCUGUGCAGAAUCCGGAAAGAGGUGUUAAAAUACGCAGGAAAAUAGUAUCCAAUCAGAUGAAACAAAGAAGUGUUUUUGUUAAUUUACCUUACAGGCAAUACGAUUAUGGCAAAGUUAUGGGUGCUUGCUGCGAGAAUGUUAUAGGGUAUGUGCCUGUACCCUUAGGGAUUGCAGGACCUCUCUUACUGGAUGACAAGCAGUAUUUUAUUCCUAUGGCCACCACAGAAGGAUGUCUUGUAGCUAGUGCAAAUAGGGGAUGCAGGGCUUUGGAAAGAACGGGAAUAAAAUCAAGAAUUGUAGCCGAUGGAAUGACUCGGGGACCUGUUGUUCGUUUCCAUUCGAUCACUAGAGCUAGCGAGGCUGUUAUGUGGUUGAAGAAACGGGAAAACUUUGAAAAAAUAAAGGAAAAUUUCGACUCUACUAGCAGAUUUGCUAAAUUAUCUAAAUUGACCACACAUAUCGCGGGGCGAUAUCUUUUUAUACGGUUUAUAGCUCAAACGGGAGAUGCUAUGGGAAUGAACAUGAUAUCUAAAGGCACUGAACAAGGUUUAAAAAUUCUACAGAACCAGUUCCCAGAAAUGGAUAUUCUCAGUCUGAGCGGUAAUGUUUGUACUGAUAAAAAACCGUCUGCUAUAAAUUGGAUUGAAGGUAGAGGCAAAUCUGUGGUUUGUGAAGCUGUGAUUCCAGCCAAUAUUGUAAAAACGGUGUUAAAAACGAAUACUUCAGCGAUGGUAGAUUUAAACAUUUCAAAAAAUAUGGUUGGUUCUGCUAUUGCAGGUAGCAUUGGCGGGUACAACGCUCACGCCGCCAACAUAGUGACCGCCAUUUUCAUAGCGACCGGUCAGGACGCCGCCCAAAACGUGGCCAGCAGCAACUGCAUGACCAUCAUAGAGCCCUACGGCGCGGACGGCGAGGACCUGCUCAUCUCGUGCACCAUGCCCAGCGUGGAAAUCGGCACGGUGGGCGGCGGCACGGUGUUGCCGGCUCAGUCCGCUUGUUUGGAGAUGUUGGGCGUGAAGGGGCCGCACGUGGAGGUGCCGGGCGACAACGCCAAACAGCUGGCGCGGAUCGUGUGCGGGGCCGUGCUGGCCGGCGAGUUGUCCCUGAUGGCGGCUUUGGCCAGCGGCCAUCUGGUUAGGAGUCACUUGAGAUUUAACCGCUCGUUCACCGGAAAAGAACUGAAACCAACGGAUAGAAGUAUGUCCUGUCAAACGUAGACAUGAUGUGUAGACGGUAAUGUGUCUUUAUGUAGCUUUAAAUGUAGACAGCAUAAUAUUAAAUCGAACGUCUCUUAUAAAACCCUUGGUGAAAAAUUCGCAAAUGAGGAUCUUCAAGAAAAAGCUUUAAUAAUAAAUUAUACAUAUAUACACUCUUGUUAUAAUUAAUUAUAUUUGGUAUUUAUUAAUUAAAAUAGAAUUAUUGCUAAUAGGAGAAGGCAUAUCUACUUAAUUUUCUUAUGAUAAAAAUAAAUAUCAAAAUUUGUUAGUUUUUUUUUCUAGCGUAUUUUAGUAAUUAUUUUUUGUACGUAAAAAAUAGUGAAUUUUUAUUACCUAUUAUAAUAUCUUUUACUGAAGAACUAUUUACUAUUGAUUUGGUGCUCAUUAAUAAAAAAAUAUAUCAUGUCUAGUCAAAAAUUAUUUAUAUUAUUACAUAACUUCCAUUUUUUUAUUAUUUAUAAAAGAUAUUUUAUGUUACAGAGUGUCACUAUAAUAGAGUAAGAAUAGAAAAUAUUUUUUAGAAUUUUCUUUAAAAAAAACUAAACUAGUCGAAAUUUUUAGAUAAUAAAAAAAUUAUAUAAUAAUUUAUACAAAUCCUGUAUUGUAAUAAAAAUGGAAAGAAAUGCCAACAUUUCAAAAUCGAAUCUAUAGACCUUAUAACACAUAGAUAUGCUUUUUUAUAAUUUACUUUCCUAUGCUUAUCCAAAUUAAAUUAUUUCUAUUCUACCGGCACUGAUUUAAAAAUACUCUGUUAAAUUCACCGUUUGUGGAUUAACAUUUUUAUUUUAUUAUGUUUUAAUAGAGAAUUAUAUUCUUUUUUUGGAGGUUAUGUAAUAUAUUCAAAAAUCUAAUAAAAAAAUGAUGUGGCUUUAAAUUUUAUCUGUGGGGGUUAAUUCGUAUGUUUUACGAAUAAAGAAUAUAAAGUCAUAUAAGAUCAUAUUGUGUGCUAUCAGUUAAUAUUUGAUGCUACAUCAUUUUGUAUUUGAUUUUUUUCCUUUCAUGUAUUCACUGCCUCUAGGAAAUUUUAUCAUUUUAUACGUCCUCAAUCUCAUUGUUUGAUAUAUUUAUUUAUACUGUUAUUCGUCAAACAAGUAUUCGAAAAAUUAGUUAAACAAAAUAUUUAAUCUGUCUAUAAAAAGUGCGACUUUUCAAAUGUUUUUUCAAUGAAUAGUUGUUAUUUUGAGCAUUGUUAACUUUGUUAUUGUUUAAUUGAACAUUUGAUAUGCAUAAGUUAGGCAACUGCUUUCCGUUUUAUUCAUCUAAUCUUUGAUUGGUGUAUUCACUAAUAGUCUAAGAGCUAGCAUCGUUUUCGAGAAAGUAUUUUAAGACGUCUGGCUUUUUGAUAUGUCUUUUACUAUGCUCCCUGGAACAGCAUGCGGCCCGUCUGGCUGCCGAUACCCGUUUGGUUCACUACUGCGCAUCGGAAGAAGAUCC